rnacentral:rRNA from 1 species
UACGAAGGGUGCAAGCGUAACUCGGAAUUACUGGGCGUAAAGCGUGCGUAGGUGGUUUGUUAAGUCUGUUGUGAAAGCCCCGGGCUCAACCUGGGAAUGGCAAUGGAUACUGGCAAGCUAGAGUGCGGUAGAGGGUAGUGGAAUUCCCGGUGUAGCGGUGAAAUGCGUAGAGAUCGGGAGGAACACCAGUGGCGAAGGCGGCUACCUGGACCAGCACUGACACUGAGGCACGAAAGCGUGGGGAGCAAACAGG